GCAACUUGGAGAAGUGAAAAGUUUUUAAUUAGCAAAAACUGCUAAUUAUAAAAUUGUAUUAUAUUGAAUGAAGCUUUGUUUAUAUAUUGAUAAUGACAGUAUAUAUAUCGUGUCUUGACCAAUUACGUGCCAGCAGUCGCGGUAAUACGUAAGAGACUAGUGUUAUUCAUCUUAAUUAGGUUUAAAGGGUACCCAAACGGUCAAAAUAGCUUCUAUAAUGUUACUAUUUGACUAGAGUUUUAUAUAAGAGUGCAGUACUUGAGGAGGAGAGAUGAAAUUUUAUGAUACCAAAGGGACUCUGUAAAUGCGAAGGCAGCACUUUAUGUAAAAACUGACGUUGAAGGACGAAGGCACAGAGAACAAACAGGAUUAGAUACCCAAGUAGUCUUUGCAGUAAAUGAUGAAUGCCAUAGGUUAGACCACCCGGUUUAGUCUAUAAAUGAAAGUGUAAGCAUUUCACCUCAAGAGUAAUGUGGCAACGCAGGAACUGAAAUCACUAGACCG
rnacentral:rRNA from 1 species